UAAGGAAUAUUGGACAAUGGAGGCAACUCUGAUCCAGCCAUGCCGCGUGAAGGAAUAAGGCCCUAUGGGUUGUAAACUUCUUUUAGACGGGACAAAACCCCUUUACGUGUAAAGGGUUGAUGGUACUGUCAGAAUAAGCAUCGGCUAACUUCGUGCCAGCAGCCGCGGUAAUACGAAGGAUGCAAGCGUUAUCCGGAAUUAUUGGGUUUAAAGGGUGCGUAGGCGGACUAAUAAGUCAGUGGUGAAAACCUGCAGCUUAACUGCAGAAUUGCCAUUGAUACUGUUAGUCUUGAGUACAGUUGAGGUAGGCGGAAUGUGUCAUGUAGCGGUGAAAUGCUUAGAUAUGACACAGAACACCGAUUGCGAAGGCAGCUUGCUAAGCUGUAACUGACGCUGAGGCACGAAAGCGUGGGGAGCAAACA
rnacentral:rRNA from 1 species